AGCGGCUAUAUGUCUCCGGAAUACGCGAUAGACGGUGUGUUCUCGGUGAAAUUGGAUGUUUUUAGCUUCGGUGUUCUGGUUCUUGAGAUCGUCAGUGGUAAAAGAAACAGAGGAUUUUCUCAUAGAGACCACAGACUCAACCUUCUCGGAUAUGCAUGGAUGCUAAAUAGAGAAGAAAGAUCACUGGAAUUGGUUGAUUCUUACCUUAUUUCAAUUCGCGUCUCGUCUGAUCCGACACGUUUUCAUUUCAGCUAUAUAUCGUUUUUUUAUGGAUCUGUUUCGACAUUCUGAAGAAUCAAACACAGUUAUUGAUCAUGAUCCAGGCCAAGUGACGUAAAUGUUUGCAAGACAAUGUUUGUUGCUCCGUAUUCGUAAUUUAGACAUGCUAGUUAGUUUUUUUUUAGAACGAUGGUUAAAUAAAGUGAUUCCUGAUCAUUUAGUAAA